rnacentral:rRNA from 1 species
UACGGGGGGGGCAAGCGUUGUUCGGAAUUACUGGGCGUAAAGGGCGCGUAGGCGGUCUGUUAAGUCGGAUGUGAAAACUCUGGGCUCAACCCAGAGCCUGCAUCCGAAACUGGCAGGCUAGAGUUCUGGAGGGGGUAGCGGAAUUCCUGGUGUAGCGGUGAAAUGCGUAGAUAUCAGGAGGAACACCGGUGGCGAAGGCGGCUACCUGGACAGAAACUGACGCUGAGGAGCGAAAGCGUGGGGAGCGAACAGG